rnacentral:rRNA from 1 species
ACAACGCGCAUUGCUUAGUACGGCGAGUGAGCGGCAAAAGCUCAAAUUUGAAAUCUGGUACCUUCGGUGCCCGAGUUGUAAUUUGGAGAGGGCAACUUUGGGGCCGUUCCUUGUCUAUGUUCCUUGGAACAGGACGUCAUAGAGGGUGAGAAUCCCGUGUGGCGAGGAGUGCGGUUCUUUGUAAAGUGCCUUCGAAGAGUCGAGUUGUUUGGGAAUGCAGCUCUAAGUGGGUGGUAAAUUCCAUCUAAAGCUAAAUAUUGGCGAGAGACCGAUAGCGAACAAGUACAGUGAUGGAAAGAUGAAAAGAACUUUGAAAAGAGAGUGAAAAAGUACGUGAAAUUGUUGAAAGGGAAGGGCAUUUGAUCAGACAUGGUGUUUUGUGCCCUCUGCUCCUUGUGGGUAGGGGAAUCUCGCAUUUCACUGGGCCAGCAUCAGUUUUGGUGGCAGGAUAAAUCCAUAGGAAUGUAGCUUGCCUCGGUAAGUAUUAUAGCCUGUGGGAAUACUGCCAGCUGGGACUGAGGACUGCGACGUAAGUCAAGGAUGCUGGCAUAAUGGUUAUAUGCCGCCCGUCUUGAACCACGGACCAACA